GGGUCAGUAGGUUGGUCGUGCCACCGGUACGUACUGGCCUCACUGAUUCCUCCUUCCUGAAGAACCGUAAUGCCAUUAAUUUGGUGUUGCGGGGAAACAGGACUGUUACUUUGAAAAAAUUAGAGUGUUUAAAGCAAGCUAACGCUUGAAUACAUUAGCAUAGUAUAAUGAAAUAGGACGAUCGAUCCUAUUUUGUUGGUUUCUAGGAUUGACGUA
rnacentral:rRNA from 1 species